CAGUAGCCGCGGUAAUACAGAGGGUGCGAGCGUUAAUCGGAUUUACUGGGCGUAAAGCGUGCGUAGGCGGCUUCUUAAGUCGGAUGUGAAAUCCCUGAGCUUAACUUAGGAAUUGCAUUCGAUACUGGGAAGCUAGAGUAUGGGAGAGGAUGGUAGAAUUCCAGGUGUAACGGUGAAAUGCGUAGAGAUCUGGAGGAAUACCGAUGGCGAAGGCAGCCAUCUGGCCUAAUACUGACGCUGAGGUACGAAAGCAUGGGGAGCAAACAGGAUUAGAUACCCGUGUAGUCCCUGUCUCUUAUAC
rnacentral:rRNA from 1 species